rnacentral:rRNA from 1 species
GAUGAACGCUGGCGGCGUGCCUAAUACAUGCAAGUCGAGCGAACAGACGAGGAGCUUGCUCCUCUGACGUUAGCGGCGGACGGGUGAGUAACACGUGGAUAACCUACCUAUAAGACUGGGAUAACUUCGGGAAACCGGAGCUAAUACCGGAUAAUAUAUUGAACCGCAUGGUUCAAUAGUGAAUGACGGUUUUGCUGUCACUUAUAGAUGGAUCCGCGCCGCAUUAGCUAGUUGGUAAGGUAACGGCUUACCAAGGCAACGAUGCGUAGCCGACCUGAGAGGGUGAUCGGCCACACUGGAACUGAGACACGGUCCAGACUCCUACGGGAGGCAGCAGUAGGGAAUCUUCCGCAAUGGGCGAAAGCUUGACGGAGCAACGCCGCGUGAGUGAUGAAGGUCUUCGGAUCGUAAAACUCUGUUAUUAGGGAAGAACAGAUGUGUAAGUAACUAUGCACGUCUUGACGGUACCUAAUCAGAAAGCCACGGCUAACUACGUG